UUCGGUGAUUAUAGCAAGAGGGAAACGCCCGGAUCCAUCCCGAACCCGGAAGCUAAGACUCUUUGCGCCGAUGGUACUGCACUGGGGACGGUGUGGGAGAGUAGGUCGUCGCCGAGC
rnacentral:rRNA from 1 species